UCUUAUGGAUGAGCAAAGAAAGUGGUUUCUUGAGAUGGAAUCUACUCCUGCAGAUGAUGAUGCUGGGAA
rnacentral:pre_miRNA from 1 species